UGCCCUGUUGUAUCCUCAGAGUGGGUGCUGC
rnacentral:piRNA from 1 species